CGUUGGUUUUUCGGGCAAGAACACUGCUGUUGUUUCUACUCCUGGUUCAUCUGAAAGGAAUCUCUCAACUUCAGCCCUUAUGGAAAGAAUUCCAAGCAGAUGGCCGCGCCCUGUAUGGCAUGCUCCGUGGAAAAACUACAGGGUUAUUAGUGGCCAUCUGGGAUGGGUGAGAUCUAUAGCGUUCGACCCAAGUAAUGAAUGGUUUGGCACAGGUUCUGCAGAUCGAAC